AACAAGGAUUCCCCCAGUAACGGCGAGUGAAGAGGGAACAGCCCAAAUUUGUAAUCUGGCCCUUUCAGGGUCCGAGUUGUAAUCUCGAGAACUGUUUUCCGUGCUGGACCGCGUACAAGUCUGUUGGAACAUAGCUUCAUAGAGGGUGAGAAUCCCGURCAUGACGCGGACUACCAGUACAAUGUGAUACAGUCUCUAAGAGUCGAGUUGUUUGGGAAUGCAGCUCAAAAUGGGUGGUAAAUUCCAUCUAAGGCUAAAUAUUGGCGAGAGACCGAUAGCGAACAAGUACCGUGAGGGAAAGAUGAAAAGCACUUUGGAAAGAGAGUUAACAGUACGUGAAAUUGUUGAAAGGGAAACGCUUGAAGUCAGUCUUGUACUUGGUUGUUCAGCCCUCGGGUGUAUUCAACCAUGAACAGGCCAGCAUCAGUUUCGGAUGUCGGAUAAGGGUAAAGGAAACGUAGCAGUCUCGGCUGUGUUAUAGUCCUCUACUUGAUACACGUCUGGGACUGAGGAACGCAGUGAGCCUUUUGGCGGGUCCUCGGACUUCUCACUAUGGAUGCUGGCGUAAUGGCUUUAAACGACCCGUCUUGAAACACGGACCAAGGAGUCUAACAUGCUUGCGAGUGUUUGGGUGUCAAACCCGGACGCGUAAUGAAAGUGAAUGUAGGUGGGAAUCGCAAGAUGCACCAUCGACCGGUCCAGAUUUUUAAUGACGGAUCUGAGUAAGAGCAAGUAUGUUGGGACCCGAAAGAUGGUGAACUAUGCCUGAAUAGGGUGAAGCCAGAGGAAACUCUGGUGGAGGCUCGUAGCGGUUCUGACGUGCAAAUCGAUCGUCGAAUUUGGGUAUAGGGGCGAAAGACUAAUCGAACCAUCUACUGGUGGUUUAGAGGCAAAUGUAUUUGUCUAGUGGACAGGAGGCCUGCAACAUCGUCAAAUUGUCGGGGACGCCCUAAAGCUUUGCACACCAAGCCUUCUACAGAAAUGCAGAGGUGGCCACGUUAAUAACGUUGGGUAUGGUAACAGCGGCAGAGAUGAACAAUGGGUAACCUGCAGCCAAAUCCUAAUCUUUGUUUACUACAAGCAAAGUAGGGAUGCAGUUCACAGACUAAAUGUCGAUGGGCAGAGUAAACACUCUGUUUAAGUUAUAGUCGGACCUCCUGGGUGACCAGGCUGAAAGAGGAAGGCACAAUAUCCCCCUUAUAUAUUGUUGCCCGGAGCUUUCAGACACUAUGCAUUCGCAUAAGUGUUGGAGUAA
rnacentral:rRNA from 1 species